CCUACGGGUGGCUGCAGUGGGGAAUAUUGCACAAUGGGGGAAACCCUGAUGCAGCAACGCCGCGUGAGCGAAGAAGGCCUUCGGGUCGUAAAGCUCUGUUGUUAGGGAAGAACAAGUACCGGAGUAACUGCCGGUACCGUGACGGUACCUAACCAGAAAGCCACGGCUAACUACGUGCCAGCAGCCGCGGUAAUACGUAGGUGGCAAGCGUUGUCCGGAAUUAUUGGGCGUAAAGCGCGCGCAGGCGGUUCCUUAAGUCUGAUGUGAAAGCCCACGGCUCAACCGUGGAGGGUCAUUGGAAACUGGGGAACUUGAGUGCAGAAGAGGAGAGCGGAAUUCCACGUGUAGCGGUGAAAUGCGUAGAGAUGUGGAGGAACACCAGUGGCGAAGGCGGCUCUCUGGUCUGUAACUGACGCUGAGGCGCGAAAGCGUGGGGAGCAAACAGGAUUAGAUACCCCGGUAGUC
rnacentral:rRNA from 1 species